GACGAACGCUGGCGGCGUGCCUAAUACAUGCGAGUAGAACGCUGAAGACUUUAGCUUGCUAAAGUUGGAAGAGUUGCGAACGGGUGAGUAACGCGUAGGUAACCUGCCUACUAGCGGGGGAUAACUAUUGGAAACGAUAGCUAAUACCGCAUAACAGCAUUUAACCCAUGUUAGAUGCUUGAAAGGAGCAAUUGCUUCACUAGUAGAUGGACCUGCGUUGUAUUAGCUAGUUGGUGGGGUAACGGCCUACCAAGGCGACGAUGCGUAGCCGACCUGAGAGGGUGACCGGCCACACUGGGACUGAGACACGGCCCAGACUCCUACGGGAGGCAGCAGUAGGGAAUCUUCGGCAAUGGGGGCAACCCUGACCGAGCAACGCCGCGUGAGUGAAGAAGGUUUUCGGAUCGUAAAGCUCUGUUGUAAGAGAAGAACGUGUGUGAGAGUGGAAAGUUCACACAGUGACGGUA
rnacentral:rRNA from 1 species